rnacentral:rRNA from 1 species
GACGAACGCUGGCGGCGUGCUUAACACAUGCAAGUCGAACGGGAAGUCCCUGCUUUUGGGGGGUGCUCGAGGGGCGAACGGGUGAGUAACACGUGAGUAACCUACCAUUGACUUUGGGAUGACUUCAGGACACUUGGUCUAAUACCAGAUAGGAGCUCCUGCUGUUUGGUGGGGGUUGGUAAGUUUCGGCGGUUGGGGUUGGAAACGCGGCUUAACAGCUUGUUGGUUGGGUAGUGGAUUACCAAGGCUUUGACGGGUAGCCUGCCUGCGAGGGUGACCUGCCACAGUGGGACUGAGAUGCGGCCCAGCCUCCUACGGGAGGCAGGAGUGGAGAGUAGAGUACAGUGGAAUGAAGCAUGAUGCGGCAACGCAGUGUGGGGGAUGACGGCCAGCGGGUAGUAAACCGCUGUCGCCUGUGACGAAGUGUUAGUGACGGUAAUGGGUAAAGAAGCACCGGCUAACUCCGUG